rnacentral:tRNA from 1 species
GGUGGCUCAGGGGUAGAGCGCUUGCCUUGCAAGCAUGAGGCCUUGGGUUCGAUUCCUCAGCACCA